UACGUGGGGUGCGAGCGUUAUCCGGAUUUACUGGGCGUAAAGCGUACCGUCGGCGACUCAGCAAGUUCUUUGUCCAAGCCUGGGGCUCAACUCCAGAUCGGCAGGGAAAAACUACUGAGAUUGAAUCUGUUCGGGGGACCUGGAAUUCUCGGUGGAGGGGGUGAAAAUCCGUAGAUAUCGAGAGGAACACCAAUGGCGAAGGCAGCCUUCUGGGCCGACACUGACGCUCAUUGCACGAAAAGCCGUGGGGGAGCAAACAGG
rnacentral:rRNA from 1 species